rnacentral:rRNA from 1 species
CACCGCGGUUAUACGAGAGGCCCAAGUUGACAGACAUCGGCGUAAAGAGUGGUUAAGUUAAAACAUAUACUAAAGCCGAACAUCCUCAAGGCUGUUAUACGCACCCGAAGAUAAGAAGUUCAACCACGAAGGUGGCUUUACUUACCUGAACCCACGAAAGCUAUGGCA